CGUGAACGCUGGCGGUAGGCCUAACACAUGCAAGUCGAACGGCAGCACAGUAAGAGCUUGCUCUUACGGGUGGCGAGUGGCGGACGGGUGAGGAAUACAUCGGAAUCUACUUUUUCGUGGGGGAUAACGUAGGGAAACUUACGCUAAUACCGCAUACGACCUACGGGUGAGAGCAGGGGAUCUUCGGACCUUGCGCGAUUGAAUGAGCCGAUGUCGGAUUAGCUAGAUGGCGGGGUAAAGGCCCACCAAGGCGACGAUCCGUAGCUGGUCUGGGAGGAUGAUCAGCCACACUGGAACUGAGACACGGUCCAGACUCCUACGGGAGGCAGCAGUGGGGAAUAUUGGACAAUGGGCGCAAGCCUGAUCCAGCCAUACCGCGUGGGUGAAGAAGGCCUUCGGGUUGUAAAGCCCUUUUGUUGGGAAAGAAAAGCAGCAGGUUAAUACCCCGCUGUUCUGACGGUACCCAAAGAAUAAGCACCGGCUAACUUCGUG
rnacentral:rRNA from 1 species